UGGGGAAUAUUGCGCAAUGGGGGCAACCCUGACGCAGCAACGCCGCGUGAAGGAUGAAGGUCUUCGGAUUGUAAACUUUUGUCUUAUGGGAAGAAAAAAAUGACGGUACCAUAGGAGGAAGCCACGGCUAACUACGUGCCAGCAGCCGCGGUAAUACGUAGGUGGCAAGCGUUGUCCGGAUUUACUGGGUGUAAAGGGCGUGUAGGCGGGUUAGUAAGUCAGAUGUGAAAUACCGGGGCUCAACUCCGGGGCUGCAUUUGAAACUGCCAAUCUUGAGUGCUGGAGAGGAAAGCGGAAUUCCUAGUGUAGCGGUGAAAUGCGUAGAUAUUAGGAGGAACACCGGUGGCGAAGGCGGCUUUCUGGACAGUAACUGACGCUGAGGCGCGAAAGCGUGGGGAGCAAACAGG
rnacentral:rRNA from 1 species